rnacentral:rRNA from 1 species
CAGCAGCCACGGGAAUACGAAGGGGGCUAGCGUUGUUCGGAAUUACUGGGCGUAAAGCGCACGUAGGCGGACAUUUAAGUCAGGGGUGAAAUCCCGGGGCUCAACCCCGGAACUGCCUUUGAUACUGGGUGUCUAGAGUAUGGAAGAGGUGAGUGGAAUUCCGAGUGUAGAGGUGAAAUUCGUAGAUAUUCGGAGGAACACCAGUGGCGAAGGCGGCUCACUGGUCCAUUACUGACGCUGAGGUGCGAAAGCGUGGGGAGCAAACAGGAUUAGAUACCCCGGUAGUCCCUGUCUCUUAUAU